GACUGUCCAGGAUGUCCAGCAGCGAUUAGGUAGACGCGAACAUGACAUCGUUUGACUAUUUGGUUAUACAAAGCUCAUAGGAUCGUACCGUGAAAUGCCCGGGUUAAACCCUAGGACGGGGACCAAGCCGGUGCCCGCAGUAUCUCACAUUCAUGCCUCAAGCGAUGGCACUUGCAACCCUACACAGAACUUUGUCAUACAAGAAUUCAGCAUCACCACUACAUGCUUUGAGGUGCAGGGCAUGUAGAAACCUGCACUGCCAUCGUUGCCAGUGCAGGUCCGCGCUCAUGGCGGGCAGCAGCAAGGGCUGUAAGAUCGCUGACGUUCUCAGCCCCUCCAACAAAGCCGGUCCUUUGUCCUUUCUGGUUUCUUUCUCUCCCCUUUGCGUACCUACGCCGCAACGAGCGAAUUGUGCUUCCUGACCUCUGCCAACCCCGGCACCCCACAUUGCUCGUAUCAUCGUCAUCGUCAAAGUCAAUCUCGCACAAUCACAUGUAGUUGCCUCUUGCGCCUGUACAAGGUGAAGACACGUCAGGAAGGGCUCCGGCGAGGAGUCAAGCAAGGUGAACCCAGUGUCACGGCUUGGGCAGUCCCCCAAUAACUAGGCAGCUAAGCAGCACCCGGCGGACCAGGGACAACCUUACAGGUAAUCCCGCUUUGACACGCUCUGCGAUUGGGGGCCCAGCAGCCUUUAGAAUACACAAGGGGAUUCGGGCAACUCUGUUUGGCACCUACCACCUAUCCCCAAAGCCCCCCCCCCGCGUACGGCUCAUGGUGUAGUACCAUGAAGACCUGGCCAGGCACGAGGGCCUCAAGGACUUAUUCUGAGCAGGCAUUUGCCUGCUCAUAUUCCC
rnacentral:lncRNA from 1 species